GCCGAUGUAGCUCAGUGGUAGAGCAACUGUUUCGUAAACAGUAGGCCAGGGGUUCAAUCCCCCUCAUCGGCU
rnacentral:tRNA from 1 species